CACCGCCCGUCACACCAUGGGAGUUGAUUGCUCCAGAAGUGGCUGAGCUAACCCGCAAGGGAGGCAGGUCCCCAAGGAGUGAUUGGUAACUGGGUG
rnacentral:rRNA from 1 species